GUGGGGAAUCUUCCGCAAUGGACGAAAGUCUGACGGAGCGACGCCGCGUGAGUGAUGAAGGCCUUCGGGUCGUAAAGCUCUGUCAUCGGGGACGAAUGGUCGUUGGAGUGGAAAGCCAGCGAAAUGACGGUACCCGAGAAGGAAGCCACGGCUAACUACGUGCCAGCAGCCGCGGUAAUACGUAGGUGGCAAGCGUUGUCCGGAAUUAUUGGGCGUAAAGCGCGCGCAGGUGGGAUCUUAAGUCCAUUUUGAAAGUUCGGAGCUCAACUCCGUGAUGGGAUGGAAACUGGGAUUCUUGAGUACCGGAGAGGAAAGCGGAAUUCCCCGUGUAGCGGUGAAAUGCGUAGAUAUGGGGAGGAACACCAGUGGCGAAGGCGGCUUUCUGGACGAUGUCUGACGCUGAGGCGCGAAAGCUAGGGGAGCGAACGGGAUUAGAAACCCUGGUAGUCC
rnacentral:rRNA from 1 species